rnacentral:lncRNA from 1 species
CAGAUUACAUAGAUUCAGUCUCAACCUCUCUCAGACAGCCUAGCUGAAUCUAUGAUAUCGAUGCAACAAACGCUUCAAUAAUAGCUAAGUGGUCAGCACGAGGAAGAACAUGGUUUAGAGAGCCACUCUCGAUAUAUAAUACUACAAUUUCUUCCAUAAAGCCCCUUCUUAUAUCGAGUCAACAAAACAUCUCGUCCCCAAAUAAUGUCUCAAGAAUACAAACAAUGAUCAACUCGAGAACUUGGAGUUGGCUAGAAAAAAACACCAAGCUCGAAGACAAUACCAGGGGACAGAUGCUUCGUUUACUCGACAUUGUAAGGGGUUUAAUGGAUGAAAAAGUAGUAUUAUAUAUUAAGAAUGUGUUGAUAUACAAUGACGAAGCUGAUACCAAGUAGCUGAAAUUGAAGAACUGAAGAUACCAGAUUCUCUAGCUACUCCGCAAACCUUCUAAAGCAUCUGAAAUUGAACAGUGAAGUAUAUAUAAAAAAAGCAUCCAAUGGCAGGUGAAUUGAACAGAUCAACUCCGCGAUGAUAAGCAUUCAUAGAAAAAGAAGGCUCCAGUUUUUAUAUAUUGUCCAUCCUCUUAAGCAAGAAGAAGUGGUCAAGCAAACAAGACAUGAUCCAAAAGAAGAAAGCGUUGAAUGGAUAAUAAAAUAUUCAACGACUUACUGGUUUCUCUGAACUUGAUAUGUUAGUUUUGCAGAAGCAGAACAUAUGUAUGUGUUGUACCAAAUCCUAUAGUAUCCAAUUCAACAUCUCUCCAUGCUUCGCUCGAAAAAUCCAUAACCCUAAACAUUAAAAGUCUUCGAAAAUAUAGGACGCUAUUAAUAGGCUGAUAGCAUUAGAGUGAUGCAUUCAACAGUAUCUAAUCUGUCCCCAAUCCUCCAAAUCUGCGUUUUUCUCCUCCCUUUUCGCUUCGAUUUCUGAUUUUGAUUAUUUGUCCAUUCCGUGAUUCCAUAAAGAGAGCAGUUCCAUCGAGGUUUCAUCAUUUUACCAAAUGUCGAAUUUAAACUUUGAGAAAAGGAGAGCAGUGCGACUAAUGAUGAGCCAUGACCAUGGAUAUAAUUGUACGGCGGCAUCACACGGCCGCAAAUACCCGAUUAGCUGUCUCAGCCGAACCGCCCAUUUUAUUUUAUUUUAUUUUUUUGUCAUAAUUUGGACAACUGCCUACUAAAAAAGUCGAACUCAACGUGGUGUUCACAAUUGGGCCUAUAAAGUUUAACACAAAUGGGCCCAGUUUUUAGUAAUCCCUUUUAUCUCAGCGACGCCGUUUAUCUAACUAUCC